rnacentral:rRNA from 1 species
UCGAAUGGGGAAAUUCAUUCGCGUUUCGAUUGUCGGCGUUAAGCGGUUGAGUGACUGACGGAGUACGCUUCGUCCGCACCUUCAGUUUUUCGAACCGACUUCGAACGCGUGCACUUUUCCCCUAGUAGGACGUCGCGAUCCGUUGGGUGUCGGUCUAAGGCUUGCGGUGGAGCUCGCGCGGACGUUUCGAUGUUCUGCACGAACCCGCAGUGUCCCGAUCGACUCGCUCGACGGUAUAAAGAUGGCGCGGGGCCGCUACUCAGUUAGCGUUCGGCCUACGGCAAGCACGUACGGUGUUUGACGGCGAUCAGACCUGGUCGGAUCCCGUCCCCGGACGACUGUUGGCACGUAGUGUUCUCGAACAGACCUCGUUGAAAUGCCGAUCUGCGACGCUUUAGCUUUGGGUACUUUCAGGACCCGUCUUGAAACMCG